GGGGUUGUGGCUCAGAGGUAGAGCGCUUGCCUGGCAUGCAUGAAGUACUGGGUUCGAUCCUCAGCACCA
rnacentral:tRNA from 1 species